GGGAACGUAGCUUAACGGCAAAGCGUGAACGUUCAUUAACUCAGGCAAGUUGUAUGAGGGUUCAAAUCCCUCCGUUCCCACCA
rnacentral:tRNA from 1 species